rnacentral:rRNA from 1 species
AUUGAACGCUGGCGGAAUGCUUUACACAUGCAAGUCGAGCGGCAGCGCGGCCUUCGGGCUGGCGGCGAGCGGCGAACGGGUGGGUAAUGCAUCGGUACAUGCCCAGUCGUGGGGGAUAACACUUCGAAAGAAGUGCAAAUACCGCACACGUCCUGAGGGGGAAAGCGGGGGAUCGCAAGACCUCGCGCGAUUGCAGUGUCCGAUGUCAGAUUAGCUAGUUGGUGGGGUAAAGGCCGACCAAGGCGACGAUCUGUAGCUGGUCUGAGAGGAUGAUCCGCCACACCGGGCCUGAGACACGGCCCAGACUCCUACGGGAGGCAGCAGUGGGGUAUCUUAGACAAUGGGCGCAACCCUGAUCCAGCCAUCCCGCGUGAGUGAAGAAGGCCUUCUGGUUGUAAAGCUCUUUCGGUAGGAAUGAACAGCUGGGAUAUAAUAUAGACCGCUUUUGACGGUACCUGAAGAAGAAGCACCGGCUAACUUCGUG